UUUAUUCUGUUGGGUAGGGGAGCGUUGUGUAAGCGGAAGAAGGUGGCUCGAGAGGGUUGCUGGACGUAUCACAAGUGCGAAUGCUGACAUAAGUAACGAUAAAACGAGUGAAAAACUCGUUCGCCGGAAGACCAAGGGUUCCUGUCCAACGUUAAUCGGGGCAGGGUGAGUCGGCCCCUAAGGCGAGGCUGAAAAGCGUAGUCGAUGGGAAACGGGUUAAUAUUCCCGUACUUGGUAAAGCUGCGAUGUGGGGACGGAGAAGGUUAGGUAAGCGGACUGUUGGAAAUGUCCGUUUAAGUUGGUAGUUGGGAGCGGUAGGCAAAUCCGCUGCUCCAUUCAACAACGAGAGAUGAUGACGAGUUCCUAAGGGAAUGAAGUUACCGAUACCCGGCUUCCAGGAAAAGCCACUAAGCGAAAGGCUUUAUUAAACCGUACUGAAAACCGACACAGGUGGUCAGGUAGAGAAUACUCAGGCGCUUGAGAGAACUCGGGUGAAGGAACUAGGCAAAAUAGCACCGUAACUUCGGGAGAAGGUGCGCUUACAGUAAUUGUAGUCCCUCGCGGAUGAAGGUGAAGUAAGUCGAAGAUACCAGCUGGCUGCAACUGUUUAUUAAAAACACAGCACUCUGCAAACACGAAAGUGGACGUAUAGGGUGUGAUGCCUGCCCGGUGCUGGAAGGUUAAUUGAUGGUGUUAUCGAAAGAGAAGCUCCUGAUCGAAGCCCCAGUAAACGGCGGCCGUAACUAUAACGGUCCUAAGGUAGCGAAAUUCCUUGUCGGGUAAGUUCCGACCUGCACGAAUGGCAUAAUGAUGGCCAGGCUGUCUCCACCCGAGACUCAGUGAAAUUGAAAUCGCCGUGAAGAUGCGGUGUACCCGCGGCUAGACGGAAAGACCCCGUGAACCUUUACUAUAGCUUGACACUGAACAUUGAAUUUUGAUGUGUAGGAUAGGUGGGAGCCUUUGAAGCAGUGACGCCAGUCAUUGUGGAGGCGACCUUGAAAUACCACCCUUUAACGUUUGAUGUUCUAACGAAGUGCCUGAAACGGGUACUCGGACAGUGUCUGGUGGGUAGUUUGACUGGGGCGGUCUCCUCCCAAAGCGUAACGGAGGAGCACGAAGGUUUGCUAAUGACGGUCGGACAUCGUCAGGUUAGUGCAAUGGUAUAAGCAAGCUUAACUGCGAGACGGACAAGUCGAGCAGGUGCGAAAGCAGGUCAUAGUGAUCCGGUGGUUCUGAAUGGAAGGGCCAUCGCUCAACGGAUAAAAGGUACUCCGGGGAUAACAGGCUGAUACCGCCCAAGAGUUCAUAUCGACGGCGGUGUUUGGCACCUCGAUGUCGGCUCAUCACAUCCUGGGGCUGAAGUAGGUCCCAAGGGUAUGGCUGUUCGCCAUUUAAAGUGGUACGCGAGCUGGGUUUAGAACGUCGUGAGACAGUUCGGUCCCUAUCUGCCGUGGGCGUUGGAUGAUUGAUUGGGGCUGCUCCUAGUACGAGAGGACCGGAGUGGACGCAUCACUGGUGUUCCAGUUGUCUCGCCAGAGGCAUUGCUGGGUAGCUAAAUGCGGAAGAGAUAAGUGCUGAAAGCAUCUAAGCACGAAACUUGCCAAGAGAUGAGUCAUCCCUGACUUUAAGUCAGUAAGGGUUGUUUAAGACUAAGACGUAGAUAGGUUGGGUGUGUAAGUGUAGUGAUACAUUGAGCUAACCAAUACUAAUUGCCCGAGAGGCUUAACCAU
rnacentral:rRNA from 1 species